rnacentral:rRNA from 1 species
AUUCGAUUGGGAAUUUUCCGCAAUGGGCGAAAGCCUGACGGAGCAAUACCGCGUGAGGGACGAAGGCCUGUGGGUUGUAAACCUCUUUUCUCAGGGAAGAAGAUCUGACGGUACCUGAGGAAUCAGCAUCGGCUAACUCCGUGCCAGCAGCCGCGGUAAGACGGAGGAUGCAAGCGUUAUCCGGAAUUAUUGGGCGUAAAGCGUCCGCAGGCGGUCUCGUAAGUCUGUCUUUAAAGCGUGGAGCUUAACUCCAUAAAGGGGAUGGAAACUGCGAGACUAGAGGUAGGUAGGGGUAGAAGGAAUUCCCAGUGUAGCGGUGAAAUGCGUAGAUAUUGGGAAGAACACCAGCAGCGAAGGCGUUCUACUGGACCAAACCUGACGCUCAUGGACGAAAGCUAGGGGAGCGAAAGGGAUUAGAUACCCCAGUAGUCA